UACGGAGGGGGCUAGCGUUGUCCGAAGUUACUGGGCGUAAAGCGCGCGUAGGCGGGUUGGUAAGUCCGCUGCGAAAGCCCGGAGCUCAACUCCGGAGGGUCGGUGGAUACUGCCAGUCUUGAAGGUGCUAGGGGGAGAUGGAAUUACCGGUGUAGCGGUGAAAUGCGUAGAUAUCGGUAGGAACACCAGUGGCGAAGGCGGUCUCCUGGGGCAUUCUUGACGCUGAGGCGCGAAAGCUGGGGGAGCGAACGGG
rnacentral:rRNA from 1 species